UUUCAUGGAGGAGACUUGGGAGGAGAUUUGGGGGGUUCUUAUCUGACUGACACCCUGAGUUAUUUUCUGGUCUCUUCUGUCACUUUUAUUUUACAAGGGCAGUUAGCUGCAGUGGAAAUGAUUAUCCCGGCGUGGUCAGACUUUCUCACAGUGGCUGUUUGUGCUCGGUUCCCAUCCUCAAGAAUUGAGGAACCCCAAAUCAGAGCAAUAUCAUUUUGUGAUCAAGUAUAUUCUGAGUUUCUUUGAAAAGCACCUCUGAAGGUUCCGAUAUUGGCCAGUGCUUGAAGCAACAUACUGGAGUUGAUUUGCAACAGGGAAGGCAGCCAUUGCUCUGACAUGUAUAACCCAUAAGUGUCUGGGUACAUGCAUCGUGAACCAGUACAGACUUGCAGCACCACCCGCAAAUGAACUAUUAAAUUUUAAUCUGCUGUAUUUCUUUUAAUGAUGAUUGAAUCCUGUGAUGCCUGAGUGUGCAGUUCCCUCAUCAUCUCUUCCCUUCAGGUUGCUGGCCCUCCCCAUCCCAAGUACCCAAGCACCUUCAGUGAUGUUUCUAUUGCAGCAGUUUUACUGUCUGGUGUCUGUCCUGCCGCUUUUCAUUCCAUUCCUAACAAAAAGAUUCUAAUGUAAUGGUAAUGAACGUAUUUCCCU